AGCGUUGUCCGGAAUUAUUGGGCGUAAAGGGCUCGCAGGCGGUUUCUUAAGUCUGAUGUGAAAGCCCCCGGCUCAACCGGGGAGGGUCAUUGGAAACUGGGGAACUUGAGUGCAGAAGAGGAGAGUGGAAUUCCACGUGUAGCGGUGAAAUGCGUAGAGAUGUGGAGGAACACCAGUGGCGAAGGCGACUCUCUGGUCUGUAACUGACGCUGAGGAGCGAAAGCGUGGGGAGCGAACAGGAUUAGAUACCCUGGUAGUCCACGCCGUAAACGAUGAGUGCUAAGUGUUAGGGGGUUUCCGCCCCUUAGUGCUGCAGCUAACGCAUUAAGCACUCCGCCUGGGGAGUACGGUCGCAAGACUGAAACUCAAAGGAAUUGACGGGGGCCCGCACAAGCGGUGGAGCAUGUGGUUUAAUUCGAAGCAACGCGAAGAACCUUACCAGGUCUUGACAUCCUCUGACAAUCCUAGAGAUAGGACGUCCCCUUCGGGGGCAGAGUGACAGGUGGUGCAUGGUUGUCGUCAGCUCGUGUCGUGAGAUGUUGGGUUAAGUCCCGCAACGAGCGCAACCCUUGAUCUUAGUUGCCAGCAUUCA
rnacentral:rRNA from 1 species